rnacentral:rRNA from 1 species
CAGCAGCCGCGGGAAUACGUAGGGUGCAAGCGUUAAUCGGAAUUACUGGGCGUAAAGCGUGCGCAGGCGGUUAUAUAAGUCAGAUGUGAAAUCCCCGGGCUCAACCUGGGAACUGCAUUUGAGACUGUAUGGCUAGAGUGUGUCAGAGGGGGGUAGAAUUCCACGUGUAGCAGUGAAAUGCGUAGAUACGUGGAGGAAUACCGAUGGCGAAGGCAGCCCCCUGGGAUAACACUGACGCUCAUGCACGAAAGCGUGGGGAGCAAGCAGGAUUAGAUACCCCAGUAGUCCCUGUCUCUUAUAC